GUGACUCAGGAUCAUGUUAUGAUUUAGUCCAUACUGAAUCCUUCUAUUUAUUUGGGUUAAGAAAAAGAGAAAGAAAAACUGAGCCUUUCUCUACCAUACAAAAACUCUUAAAUCUUAAAAUCAGAGUGGAGGCCAGUGUGUUUUUUUUUUUCAUUGCAUUGAGAAUGAUCAGAAGGAAAGAAAACAGCAAGUCUUAAAAUCUUUUCUUGUUUUGUACCAAGUUUGGAUUUUGUUUUUCCUUCACAUUUUCUUUGUUCUUUCCCCAGUUUCUUUGUUGUUCUCAGGAAGGCGAAAUAUUCUUCCAUUUUCAGCCCAGCAGAGUGGAAUUUAUACCCAAACAUCCUCAUCAGAUUGACAAAGCAUCCUGCAGGGACAUCAUGGAGCUCAUUUAAUCUCUGGGAGAGGAAACUGAAGCUGGACUCCCUGACAACAAUGAUGAAUCUAAAUUCAACAACCAUUAACCAAGGAUUUGUUGAUUUAUAUGGACUUGAGGGAAGAUAUUAUCUCUUCGACUAAGUUUGUUCUCGAUAAGUUCUUAAUCCUCAAGACCAGGAAAAAUAGAGUAUUUUUAGACUGAGCUUGGUAUAAGAAAAUUCCCCAUCAUUUUUUUCCCAUUGCUUUCCAAUUUAUAGAAAAAUAAAACCAAAAUAAAAAUAAUGGCAUUUAUUCUACUCUGCCCUGUACUGUAUUUUGAGGUGGAUUCUUUGUUUUUUUUCUUCUAUAUUUCAUGGUAUAAAUGGAGGUAAAGUAAUUUGCCUAAGGUCCUAAAUGUAGCAUGUGAUGUCCAGCUCUCUUAACUACUACCUUAUCCAUCAGAGUCUACAGAAAUAUAAAUCUUCCUUCAAGACCAAAUGGCACUGAAUUCUAGAGUUUAAUAAAACUUCAUGUGAGAAAUGACUGGAAGUUAUAUUUUUAAGGAUCUCACCUCUUUUGGUAAGUUAGGUCUCAGUAUUUAAUGUUUUGGAGAAGGC
rnacentral:lncRNA from 1 species